UACGUAGACCUCGAGCGUUAUUCGGAUUUAUUGGGCGUAACGAGCAUGUAGGUGGUUUUGUGCGUCUUCUGUUAAAGCUCAGGGCCUCACCCUGGAAGUGCAGGAGAUACGACAAGACUAGAGGAGGUUAGAGGUGCAUGGAACUCACGGUGUAGGGGUGAAAUCCGUUGAGAUCGUGGGGAACACCAAAGGCGAAGGCAGUGCACGGGGACAUUCCUGACACUGAGAUGCGAAAGCGUGGGGAGCAAAAAGG
rnacentral:rRNA from 1 species